ACGUGAUGUGCAAAAAGGGAAAAAUAGGUUUUCAUUUUGACGCGCUAAAUUAAAAAAUAUUUUUGCACAAUAUAAUUCGUCAUGAUGACCUGACUGUGUGUGUGUGUGUGUGUGUGUGUGUGUCCGCGCGCGCACGCACGCGUGUGUGUGUAUACGCGUA